rnacentral:lncRNA from 1 species
GUUACCUUUGGACAUCCAUCCAAGAGGAAGCGAGAAGAAGAACAAGAAGUUAAUGGUAAAAAUGCAAACAAGAAAUCGAAGACAUUAACUGAGGCGGAAAAGGCUCGUGAGGCGAAGCGGGCUUUGGCCAAAGAGAAGUUCAGGCUUCUUGACGCCAAGAGGAAGAGCAAGCGUCCGCGAUCGUUCCGUAAACGACUGGUCAAGAAAAUUAAGAAUGAGAAGAAACAAAGAGAGGCUCAAGCCGCUGCCAAGAAGAAAGAAGAACAAAAAUCGCAAGUUCCAAAACAAGCAGGGAAGAGAAAAGUUAUGAACAAUGAAAAAUAGAUUUUUCCAGCAGUA